rnacentral:rRNA from 1 species
UGAGGAAUAUUGGUCAAUGGGCGGGAGCCUGAACCAGCCAAGCCGCGUGAGGGAUGAAGGCCCUAUGGGUCGUAAACCUCUUUUGUCAGGGAACAAAAGCGAGUAUGUAUACUAGUCUGAGUGUACCUGAAGAAAAAGCAUCGGCUAACUCCGUGCCAGCAGCCGCGGUAAUACGGAGGAUGCGAGCGUUAUCCGGAUUUAUUGGGUUUAAAGGGUGCGUAGGCGGCGGUGCAAGUCAGCGGUAAAAGCCCGGGGCUCAACCCCGGCGAGCCGUUGAAACUGCAGUGCUAGAGAAGGCGAGAGGUACGCGGAAUGCGCAGUGUAGCGGUGAAAUGCUUAGAUAUUGCGCAGAACUCCGAUUGCGAAGGCAGCGUACUGGCGCCUGACUGACGCUGAGGCACGAAAGCGUGGGGAUCGAACAGGAUUAGAUA